AGUGAACAAUUAAACGGCCGCGGUACUCUAACCGUGCAAAGGUAGCAUAAUCAUUUGUCUACUAAUUAUAGACUAGCAUGAAAGGCAAAAUGAGGGUCUAACUGUCUCUUAUAGUAAGUCAAUUAAACUGAUCUACCAGUAAAAAAGCUGGAAUACACACACAAGACCAGAAGACCCUGUGAAGCUUAAACUAAACUAUUAAAAUUCUAUAAUAGCUACUUUCGGUUGGGGCGACCUUGGAAAAUAAAAGAACUUCCAAACAUAAUGAUUAUUUAUUAUCAUCCUCUAGGCCAACAAGCCAUAUAUGACCCAGCAAGCUGAUAAUUGAACCAAGUUACUCCAGGGAUAACAGCGCUAUCUUCUUCAAGAGUCCAUAUCAAAAAGAAGGUUUACGACCUCGAUGUUGGAUCAGGACAUCCUAA
rnacentral:rRNA from 1 species